UAGGCCAGCACUGUGUUCCCAUGGGCAUC
rnacentral:piRNA from 1 species